rnacentral:rRNA from 1 species
GAUGAACGCUGGCGGCGUGCCUAAUACAUGCAAGUCGAGCGAACAGACGAGGAGCUUGCUCCUCUGACGUUAGCGGCGGACGGGUGAGUAACACGUGGAUAACCUACCUAUAAGACUGGGAUAACUUCGGGAAACCGGAGCUAAUACCGGAUAAUAUAUUGAACCGCAUGGUUCAAUAGUGAAAGACGGUUUUGCUGUCACUUAUCGAUGGAUCCGCGCCGCAUUAGCUAGUUGGUACGGUAACGGCUUACCAAGGCAACGAUGCGUAGCCGACCUGAGGGGGUGAUCGGCCACACUGGAACUGAGACACGGUCCAGACUCCUACGGGAGGCAGCAGUAGGGAAUCUUCCGCAAUGGGCGAAAGCCUGACGGAGCAACGCCGCGUGAGUGAUGAAGGUCUUCGGAUCGUAAAACUCUGUUAUUAGGGAAGAACAAAUGUGUAAGUAACUAUGCACGUCUUGACGGUACCUAAUCAGAAAGCCACGGCUAACUACGUG